CUGCCAUAAAAUAAGAAAGAGAGAAAUAGAAGAGGAGAAUGGAGAAGAUGCAGAAUCUCACCAUCGUUGUCUCUUCUUCCUCUCCCUUUCCGCACGUAAAUGCCAUUAUCAUUGUCAUCAAGUUAAAAUCUUGAAACUGGGAGCGUCGGAAGGUUGAGAGACGUGGGCAAAGGUGACCGAGUAAACAGAGCAUUACAAGACGAGCGCACAAAGUGGUAGCUUGGGCUACUUCUGUCCAACUUUGCCUCUCACCAUCUUCCGCUGUCCAUCACUCCCUUCCUCCCUCUUGCUUUUAUCUGCAUUGGUUGAAGACUCUUCUUUCGACUGGAUUGAGCCAUUUAUCCGUCGGGGUUUGCUCGAGAGGACUAGGGGAGUGCCCAUUACUUCCUUCUUCGCCAGUUCAAUAUGAUCGGUAGUCUCAUCAUGAGAAACCUUGCGGGUGAGGUCGUUGGAAGUGGACUUGGAGAAGUAGAAGGUGGUGAUGGUUGGAGACAACAUCACUCCAUUUGAAGUCCUCAAUGGUGUAUCAAAGGUUAUGCUUGCAAAGUUGUGGCUAGACCCUUAGUUAAUUGAUUUCUUAGCAAGGAUGAUAUAAACAAAACUAAAUGCAAACUUAUUCUCUCUAGUAUGUUUUCUAGUAACUAAAAAAAAUCUUGGCAUCAAUCUAUUUGAAAUGCAAGAAAAUUUAUCUAAGUACUUUUUGAUGAGGUUUUGAUGUCAUUGUAUCAGUUUGUAAUAGAAGAGGCAAAGCU